rnacentral:lncRNA from 1 species
GGUAACCUGCUCGUGUCCCCUUCCACGCUGUGGAAGGUUUGUUCUUUUGCUCUUUGCAAUAAAUCUCGCUACUGCUCACUCUUUGGGUCCACGCUGCUUUUAUGAGCUGUAGCACUCACCACGAAGAUCUGCAGCUUCACUCCUGAGCCCAGCGAGACCACGAGCCCACCGGGAGGAGCGAACAACUCCAGACGCGCUGCCUUAAGAGCUGUAACACUCACCGCGAAGGUCUGCAGCUUUACUCCUGAGCCAGCGAGACCACGAACACACCAGAAGGAAGAAACUCCGAACACAUUUGAACAUCAGAAGGGACAGACUCCAGACGCGCCACCUUAAGAGCUGUAACACUCACCGCGAGGGUCCGCGGCUUCAUUCUUGAAGUCAGUGAGAUCAAGAACCCACCAAUUCCGGACACGGAAGGAUCACUUGAGCACAGGAGAUUGAGGCUGCAGUGAACUAUGACCUCACCACUGCACUCCAGCCUGGGCAGCAGACUGAGACCCUGUCUCCAAAAAAAAUAAAAUUAAAAUUACUGGAG